UGAGGGCUCAGGAGGGUCCUCAGGUGCUUCAACUGCAUGACGGACACCUGUCUCUCAAAUGCUACCAGACAGCGACUACUCCUGCGGUUACCCGGACAACCCGCCAAGGGACGGCCGCGACAUCCGCUGACGCAAACGCGACCUGAGCGCAACACGCGUCACCUCCUAGGUUCACGACGGAGCCAACAGAACGUGCGCAAGCGCAGUGAGAAGUAGGGCGGGCCCACGUUACGCUUGAGGAAACCUCCCCUUGACCAAUCCCGUCGCUGUAUGCAAACCCAAGACCAAGCCACGCCCACAAAGUAUUCCGCAAACUCCGGGUACUACGUAGCCAGAAUCGUCUUUCUUGCUCGUUGAUGUACGGACGUCAGUGUGGCUGAGUGCACUCUUACUCCUCAAACUCUCGGAAACAGCCGUUGCUAUGACAGGCAAAAGUAAUCGACAGUCUUGAAAUGAGUUAUAUGACUUGCAUGGAAUCACAAGUGUAAUACUGACAGUUUACAGCGAUCUUAGCUGUCUCCGUGCCGGGCUUGCUAUAGCCCAUAACGCUCCUGUCCCAAGAAAUGAUGGUUUCCAGAGUCUGAGAGAGAAGUGUUUUGGAACCAAUAGCCAGGGAAAGGAAAGGCUGAAGAGUUGAAACAAACACCUAACAAUGAGUCUGCACCUCUCAAGUUGUUGGUGAUGUGAGGGGCCAUGGAGAGUCAGACAACCUUUGCCACCUCCUGCCUUCAUUGAGCCCCCUCCUGAGUCCUGCAUCCAGUUGCUCACUCACCAGCCCACAUGAGCAACACCACCACGAUGAUGACCACUUCCCCGGUCUGAAGCGGCUGCUCUCCAUCGAGACCCUCCACGGUGAUGUCCCCUGAGAAGAGAGGAGGCAGACUCUGCGUCAAGAGGACCUGCUGGAAGCCGUGUCACAGGGUAGAGAUGUGGGGGUUAGAGUCAGGCUGGACCUGUCAGUGUUGCCCCUGGAGCCCUAGGUUAGCUCCUCUCUGGGAGGAAGCCUUUGGUAGACAGGUGGUUAGAGGCUGCAGAACCUGGCCACACACGACAUGAUGUGAUGUGCUGUGAGGCUGGGCGAGGGAGCGUCAAAGCCCUCCCCCCAAAGGAUUCAUUCGCAGUCUGUCUAUACUGGGCCCCUGCCCAUCUGCUUUUCCUUCCUUUCCUGGCAGUACAGUGAAUUAAAUCAUCUCCCUAUUUAUCUAAGGGAGACUGCAGCUUGCUUUGGGAGGUAAAUAAGAGGAUAAAAGCCAGGUAAAACAACCAGAGAAUGUACAGCACAGGCCCUCACCUG